rnacentral:rRNA from 1 species
AUUGAACGCUGGCGGCAGGCCUAACACAUGCAAGUCGAGCGGAUGAAGGGAGCUUGCUCCUGGAUUCAGCGGCGGACGGGUGAGUAAUGCCUAGGAAUCUGCCUGGUAGUGGGGGAUAACGUCCGGAAACGGGCGCUAAUACCGCAUACGUCCUGAGGGAGAAAGUGGGGGAUCUUCGGACCUCACGCUAUCAGAUGAGCCUAGGUCGGAUUAGCUAGUUGGUGGGGUAAAGGCCUACCAAGGCGACGAUCCGUAACUGGUCUGAGAGGAUGAUCAGUCACACUGGAACUGAGACACGGUCCAGACUCCUACGGGAGGCAGCAGUGGGGAAUAUUGGACAAUGGGCGCAAGCCUGAUCCAGCCAUGCCGCGUGUGUGAAGAAGGUCUUCGGAUUGUAAAGCACUUUUGGUUGGGAGGAAGGGCAGUAAGUUAAUACCUUGCUGUUUUGACGUUACCAACAGAAUAAGCACCGGCUAACUUCGUG